rnacentral:misc_RNA from 1 species
UUUCCGUUGGUGAACCAGCGGAAGGAUCAUUACAGAGUUCAUGCCCUUACGGGUAGAUCUCCCACCCUUGAAUAACAUACAUUGUUGCUUUGGCGGACGCUUCGGCAGCCGCCAGAGGACCCUAAACUCUUGUUUACAGUGUCGUCUGAGUACUAUAUAAUAGUUAAAACUUUCAACAACGGAUCUCUUGGUUCUGGCAUCGAUGAAGAACGCAGC